GAACCUGCGUAGGGAUCAUUU
rnacentral:rRNA from 6 species